AAAAAAGUGUAACAAGGUUUCCGUAGGUGAACCUGCGGAAGGAUCAUUA
rnacentral:rRNA from 1 species